UACGUAGGCAGCGAGCGUUGUUCGGAGUUACUGGGCGUAAAGGGUGUGUAGGCGGUUUUCUAAGUUUGGUGUGAAAUCUCCCGGCUCAACUGGGAGGGUGCGCCGAAAACUGGAAAGCUAGAGUACUGGAUGGGAGAGUGGAAUUCCUGGUGUAGCGGUGAAAUGCGUAGAUAUCAGGAGGAACACCUGUGGUGUAGACGGCUCUCUGGACAGUCACUGACGCUGAGACACGAAAGCGUGGGUAGCAAACAGG
rnacentral:rRNA from 1 species